rnacentral:rRNA from 1 species
CAACAUUCUGAUUUGCGAUUACUAGCAACUCCGACUUCAUGUAGGCGAGUUGCAGCCUACAAUCCGAACUGAGAUUGGCUUUUAGAGUUUUGCUUGACAUCACUAUCUUCGCUUCUCGUUGUACCAACCAUUGUAGCACGUGUGUAGCCCAAGACAUAAAGGGCAUGAUGAUUUGACGUCAUCCCCACCUUCCUCCGAUUUGUCAUCGGCAGUCUCUCCAGAGUCCCCAUCAUUACAUGCUGGUAACAUAGAGAGAUAAGGUGUGCGCGCUCGUUCGCGGGGACUUAACCCAACUAUCUCACAGACACAGAGCUAGACAGACACACCAUCGCACACACCUGUAUAAGCUGUCCCCCGAAGGGACCUUAUCAAUAUUCUCAAUGAACUCACUAGAUUGCGC